UACGUAGGGUGCAAGCGUUGUCCGGAAUUAUUGGGCGUAAAGAGCUCGUAGGCGGUUUGUCGCGUCGAAUGUGAAAACCCGGGGCUCAACUCCGGGCCUGCAUUCGAUACGGGCAGACUAGAGUUCGGUAGGGGAGACUGGAAUUCCUGGUGUAGCGGUGAAAUGCGCAGAUAUCAGGAGGAACACCGGUGGCGAAGGCGGGUCUCUGGGCCGAUACUGACGCUGAGGAGCGAAGCGUGGGGAGCGAACAGG
rnacentral:rRNA from 1 species